rnacentral:tRNA from 1 species
CCCGCAGUAGCUCAACGGCAGAGCGCUCGCCUGUAGAGCGAGAUGUUGCUGGUUCAAAUCCGGCCUGCGGGA